GACGGAGGAGGCAAGCGUUAUCCGGAAUGAUUGGGCGUAAAGGGUUCGUAGGCGGCUGUUCAAGUCUGGUGUCAAAGACCGGAGCUUAACCCUAGAAAGGCAGUGGAAACUGAACGGCUGGAGUGCAGUAGGGGUUGAGGGAAUUCCCAGUGUAGCGGUGAAAUGCGUAGAGAUUGGGAAGAACACCGGUGGCGAAAGCGCUCUGCUGGACUGCAACUGACACUGAGGGACGAAAGCUAGGGGAGCGAAAGGG
rnacentral:rRNA from 1 species